rnacentral:rRNA from 1 species
UACGAAGGGGGCUAGCGUUGCUCGGAAUCACUGGGCGUAAAGCGCACGUAGGCGGAUUGUUAAGUCAGGGGUGAAAUCCUGGAGCUCAACUCCAGAACUGCCUUUGAUACUGGCGAUCUCGAGUCCGGGAGAGGUGAGUGGAACUGCGAGUGUAGAGGUGAAAUUCGUAGAUAUUCGCAAGAACACCAGUGGCGAAGGCGGCUCACUGGCCCGGUACUGACGCUGACGGUGCGAAAGCGUGGGGAG